UACAGAGGGGGCAAGCGUUAUUCGGAAUUAUUGGGCGUAAAGGGCGCGUAGGCGGCUUGACAAGUAGAAGGUGAAAGCCCUCGGCUUAACCGAGGAACUGCCCUCCAAACUGUUUGGCUUGAGACCGGGAGAGGCGAGUGGAAUUCCCGGUGUAGCGGUGAAAUGCGCAGAUAUCGGGAGGAACACCUAUGGCGAAGGCAGCUCGCUGGGACGUUACUGACGCUGAGACGCGAAAGCGUGGGGAGCAAACAGG
rnacentral:rRNA from 1 species